rnacentral:tRNA from 2 species
ACCACGCGCGGGUUCAAUUCCCGUCGUUCGCCGCGGAUGUAGCCAAGUGGCUCAAGGCAGUGGAUUGUGAAUCC